GAUGAACGCUGGCGGCGUGCCUAAUACAUGCAAGUCGAGCGAACAGACGAGGAGCUUGCUCCUCUGACGUUAGCGGCGGACGGGUGAGUAACACGUGGAUAACCUACCUAUAAGACUGGGAUAACUUCGGGAAACCGGAGCUAAUACCGGAUAAUAUAUUGAACCGCAUGGUUCAAUAGUGAAAGACGGCUUUGCUGUCACUUAUAGAUGGAUCCGCGCCGCAUUAGCUAGUUGGUAAGGUAACGGCUUACCAAGGCAACGAUGCGUAGCCGACCUGAGAGGGUGAUCGGCCACACUGGAACUGAGACACGGUCCAGACGCCUACGGGAGGCAGCAGUAGGGAAUCUUCCGCAAUGGGCGAAAGCCUGACGGAGCAACGCCGCGUGAGUGAUGAAGGUCUUCGGAUCGUAAAACUCUGUUAUUAGGGAAGAACAAAUGUGUAAGUAACUAUGCACGUCUUGACGGUACCUAAUCAGAAAGCCACGGCUAACUACGUG
rnacentral:rRNA from 1 species